rnacentral:rRNA from 1 species
GAGUUUGAUCGUGGCUCAGGAUGAACGCUGGCGGCGUGCUUAACACAUGCAAGUCGAACGAAGAUGAUUAGAAUGAGAGCUUCGGCAGGAUUUCUUUUCAUCUUAGUGGCGGACGGGUGAGUAACGUGUGGGCAACCUGCCCUAUACUGGGGAAUAAUCACUGGAAACGGUGACUAAUACCGCAUGUCAUUGCGAGAGGGCAUCCUCUUGCAAGAAAGGAGUAAUUCGGUAUAGGAUGGGCCCCGCAUCUGAUUAGCUAGUUGGUGAGAUAACAGCCCCACCAAGGCGACGAUCAGUAGCCGACCUGAGAGGGUGAUCGGCCAC